rnacentral:tRNA from 1 species
GGGCCCGUAAUCUAGCGGAUAGGGUGCCCGGCUUCGGUAUCUGGGAUGCAAAAGAGCUCAGAAGGGGAGACUGGGAUGUCGCAGGUUCGAAUCCUGCCGGGCCCG